rnacentral:lncRNA from 1 species
GCAUCCAUCAUUCCUGCAAAUUUGCACUUUCAUUUUAAACUCAAGACUCUUUGUGAAAGAAUGAAUCUUUGGUAAGUCAAAACACUUUACCUUAUGGCAGCUGAUAAGUUUGAUAGGUAAUCUCUGUGGAAGCUAAUCCUCUUGUCAUCUUCUAAUGCUUUCUCCAUGUCUAUGAAUGGAUUGUUUUUCUCAUCCAUGCCUGUGAUAUCACCACCUUCAAUGUUAAAAGAUCUGAUUUUUUUUUAUUGAUAUUGUUUUGGGAUUUGAGAUGUUUACCGUUUUCUGUGAUGAUUACAGGUGGGUUUCCAUACAUGUCUUUAACAUACACUGCCAGUUUCCUGAUUCCCCAUGGGACAAUGUGUAGCCAGCUUGAUCCAGCCUGAUUCAAGUUAGUUUUUUUUCUUAUCAGAUAAUUGUUUAGUUUCAUUUUAGUGAACAUGUCAUCAGAGAAAUACAUACUCUUUCUCCUAUAGCUAUUCCUCCACGAUAAGCUACAACAUUUAGAAGCAAACAAAGAGUAGGAACAUCAGCUUAGUUUUUUUGGUUUUGUAGCAGAGAAUGAUAUGAGAACUGGUUUUGUUUCUUACAGCUUGUAAUCACGGCUGAAUCAGAAGAAGCAUCUUGCAGAAUCAGUUUCCUUAUCCUAGUUCUGUCGUUCCUCGCAUAUAAUGUGGUGUAGUGGUUGAUCCCCACGUAAUCAAAUGCCCCUUUUAUAGCUUUAGACAUCUCUGGUGUUAUCUUAGGUAGUCUCUCUUCCACUAGACUCUUCAUUGAAGCUGGAUAGUCUCCAUAGAUUAGAGGAUCCAUAAACCUAUAUCAAAUCUCAUUCUGUCACUUUUGACUUUCUCUCAAGUAAACUUCUCUACGCAAAUAUUCACAGAUAAAAGGAUUUUAUAUUUACCAUCCAAUCCCAAAAUCCAUGGCUCUUCGAGCUGCAUCUUUGUCCUCAUCACAAUCAGUCAUUGGCUCAUACCAUUUUGCAUCUAAUGCUAUCCCUAUUUGACCAUGUUGUUUCUCCUUCCAUAUAGAAAAUUCCCACAUUUUAUUCUGCUCUUAGAAUCAUAAGAUUUUGUUCUGUUUUGUUUUCUUACCUUGAAGUUUCUAUGGUAGGUGUGGUAAGCAGCAGCAUGAGACAGAAGAAUGUUAUGAGCUACAAUGUAUGGUUCCACCGAUGACGUCCCCUUCUUACAAAACCAAUGUCCCAGAAGUGAGCACCUCCCUGGAGCCUGUAUCCCUGUGUCAUAGCCUUGGAUCGAUACACCGUGAGGCUCAUUGAAAGUGACCCAGUGCUUCACUCUAUCUCCAAAUGCUUUAAAACAG